ACACAUUGAAUACAAGAAAGUUAAGAGCAGCCAUUAGUAAACACAGCAUUUUUUCCAGCUGACAACUCUUCAUAUGGAUGUGGUAUAGACAAUAGAUAGAAAUGUAAGGAUACGCAUGUUUUGGAUAUACCAUUUCUUCAGGCAUGUGAAAUUCCUUUUAGAACAGUAAUAUAAGAAAGUAUCAAAACAGAUUUGGUUGCACUUUUCAGAUUGUCACCGAAAAAUAAAUCAAUGCCAAAAUUAUUGAAGCAUUGCUCCUGUUGAAGAACAGAAUCCUUAUCUCUUAUAAGAGUUAGCUUUACAACUGCAAAUAAGAUGUUUUUUCCUGAUCCUGAUGAUUGCAUCCUGAUUAUAUAAUAUCAUGAUCCUGAUAAUAUCAAAAGCAAAACAUAAUUUCCUGAAAACUGCAGCUUGGCUUGAAAAAUCGAUUUGUAUUCGUGUUCUUAUUAUAACCUGAAUUGUUUCUUUAAUAAUUUUUCCAUAAUCUGAAUUGUUUCAUUAAUCAGU